rnacentral:rRNA from 1 species
GACGAACGCUGGCGGCGUGCUUAACACAUGCAAGUCGAGCGGUAAGGCCCUUUCGGGGGUACACGAGCGGCGAACGGGUGAGUAACACGUGGGUGGCCUGCCUUUAGCUCUGGGAUAAGCCUGGGAAACUGGGUCUAAUACCGGAUAUGACCCUAUGGCGCAUGUUGUGGGGUGGAAAGCCUUGUGCGGCUAGGGAUGGGCCCGCGGCCUAUCAGCUUGUUGGUGGGGUGAUGGCCUACCAAGGCGA